UACGUAGGGCGCAAGCGUUAUCCGGAAUUAUUGGGCGUAAAGAGCUCGUAGGCGGUUUGUCGCGUCUGCCGUGAAAGUCCGGGGCUCAACUCCGGAUCUGCGGUGGGUACGGGCAGACUAGAGGUAUGCAGGGGAGAACGGAAUUCCUGGUGUAGCGGUGAAAUGCGCAGAUAUCAGGAGGAACACCAAUGGCGAAGGCAGCUCGCUGGGACGGUACUGACGCUGAGGCGCGAAAGCGUGGGGAGCAAACAGG
rnacentral:rRNA from 1 species